rnacentral:rRNA from 1 species
AGUGAACGCUGGCGGCAGGCCUAACACAUGCAAGUCGAGCGGCAGCGCGGGGGCAACCCUGGCGGCGAGCGGCGGACGGGUGAGGAACACAUCGGAAUCUACCUUGUCGUGGGGGAUAACGUAGGGAAACUUACGCUAAUACCGCAUACGACCUACGGGUGAAAGCGGCGGACCGCAAGGCGUCGCGCGAUUGGAUGAGCCGAUGUCCGAUUAGCUAGUUGGCGGGGUAAAGGCCCACCAAGGCGACGAUCGGUAGCUGGUCUGAGAGGACGACCAGCCACACUGGAACUGAGACACGGUCCAGACUCCUACGGGAGGCAGCAGUGGGGAAUAUUGGACAAUGGGCGCAAGCCUGAUCCAGCCAUGCCGCGUGGGUGAAGAAGGCCUCGGUUGUAAGACC